rnacentral:lncRNA from 1 species
AAAUCUGUGUUUUGGGGUUCCUGUUAUUUAUGAAUGUGCAUGAAAGGUGAAAGCAGAAGGAGGAUUUAUGAAGAGGUUUGGAAAGUGAAUGUAUUUGGUGUGAACGUAAUGACAAUAGGUGUGGCAGUGGGGAAAGGUUUGAAACGUAGGAAAAAAAUUUAAUGUCCUGUGUGCAAAAUUUAUUGUCCUGUGUUCCAAGUCCAUAAUUCGUAAUGACAAUAGGUGUUGGUGUGAACGUAAUGACAAUAGGUGUGGCACUGUGUGGAUGGAAAGAGACUUGCAUAGUUGCAUGUACUUUUCAAGAUGACGGUGAGGUGUUCUGAGUCAAUAAUACGAUGCAAAUGUGAGAAUAUUAGAACACAUAACACUAUAUUAUUUAUUAGUGUUGUUACUGAGUAUGGAUAGUUGAGAGAAACUUACAUAAGUUGACAAUGAAUUGAGCCUAUGGACCUGACUUUUCAGCCCUCUCAGUUUCUAUACACUUUUAUCCCCUUCUAUUUUGUACGAUGAUGGUUAAGUCACGUUAACAUUUUAUAUUAAUUUUUUUAUAAGAAUAAUGAGGUACAAAAUAAUAGUGAUAUAAAAUGUUGACGUGAUUUAACUGCGACUACACAAAUAGGAAGGGAUGAGAGUGUAUGUGAGAGGGCAGAGAAGCCAGGUCCUUGAGCCUAUUACUUGCUGUCACGUACUUUAACUUACCCGCUUGACAUGUCAUGAUCUGUUUGCGAUACCGUCUUUGAAUGGGUGUUUAGGUUCAGCGUUUUCAACUUGAACCUACUUUUGGUUCGUCUUGUGUGUUCGGACUUCAGAUAGGGAAUACGAUGUUGUUGGUGUGUCGUGUGGCGGAGAUUGGAGCACGUAAGAGGAAAUUUGAAGUGUGUAGGCUUUGGAACUGCGUGGCUUACUCGGCAUUCAGUCAUUUCUGCUGCGAGUGGACUUUCUUGUUCGUACAUGUGAACAAAUUUGAAGUCUGUAGGCUUUGGAGACAGGAGGACCGAGCUGAGAGCUGUGAAGGUGAGUGACAGUUGUAUACGAAGAUGCUACUUCUGGAAAAGUAAAGCAGAAGCACCAGUGGUCAAGUGGUAGAAUAGUACCCGCCACGGUGACCCGGGCUAGUUAUUGAAUAAACUGAGUUGUAUAGAACUUUAACGAAAAAUGAAAGUCUCUCGUACUGUUCAUUUUAACGAAAAAUCAUAUUUUUACAUUAAAAAUUCAAUUAUAGUACUAUUUACUUUACCUUUUAUUUUAUCCUUAUCGUUAAAACUCAAAGUUUUUAAGCUAUUUUUCUUAGUUUUCCUUAGUUAUUACUCCUUGCGUAAUAUUUCAGAAUUCAGACGCAUAUAGAAAAUGGAAUUCGAAAUUCCAGCAUCUCUUCAAAGUUUCUUCUUUUGGACUGACAAUGGAAGCAUACAAGUAACAGAAAUCUUUGCAAAAACAGUCACGUUACAAGUCUAUCGGGGUUCAAAGCAAUGGCAUGGCUCGUUGAUACCAGAAACUCCUUCGGGGGCAGCCCGACAUUUGCAAAUUCUUCCGACUUCCGAGUCUUUCAUUCUCACUCGGUCUCUUGGGUCUUAAGUUGGCCCUUGAAGCGGUUGUAUUUACGAUUUGCCCAUGGUAACGCCGUAUCAGCCUUACCUUUUGCUUUGCUCAUUUUCCGGAAUGCGAGCACUUUUGCAUCGUCUCUGCUUUUACACCCUCCGACUCUACCAAGACUGCUGAAAUGCAAGCACUUUUGCAUCUUCUCUGCUUUUACACCCUCCGCUUUUACACCCUCCGACUCUACCAAGACUGCUGAAAUGCAAGCACUUUUGCAUCUUCUCUGCUUUUACACCCUCCGACUCUACCAAGACUGCUGCACCCAGUCAAAGUAGUUAACAUCAGAAGAAUGCUGACAUAACACUUCUAAGCUGCAUCUAACGGUUUCAUGCCAAAUCAUGAAAGAAGAAAAAUUCACACAUACCAGGAGGGGUGUGUUUAGACAACAUUUGGGCCGUGAUGAAAUCCAACAGAUGAACUUUUGAGUGAAAUAGCCAUCUUGAGAUUGCUUGGAUUUGUUUACGGGACAUCUUAUUCCUUAGGGCCCGGCUUCGUCUAUCUUGGAUUUCAUAUCAAAUGUUCGAUAGCCAGGUACAUACGUAGGUCCCUGGGUAACAAAGAGUUGUAGCUCACAACGUGCACAGAUAGAUUCAUCUUGUAAAAGGUAAAUGUCUAGAAAUGAUGCCAUUAAGAACUUACUAACAUUUCAACAUUAUCAUUUCAAAAAGGCUGUGCAAUAUCCUUGGAUCAUACUAAUGAGAAAAUUCUUUUGUACGAAGUAAGGGAUCUGGAGAUGAUCCAUUUCCAAUUUACCAAACUACAACAUUGUCUAAUACAUCCGACUUAAUUUCUUAAUCACUAGUUUAAACAACAAGAUCCAUUGAUAUGUUUCACUAAUUAAUCACUUGGAAGCACCUGCAGCUCUCAAUCUGGCCUUAAGAAUCUUAGUAACCUCAGCCAACUUGUCAGUCUCCGGCAUAACAUCCUUCACAGCAGGAUCUGCACUGAACUUCUCAGCCCAUUUGGCCAGCCCUGGGAUCUUUGCUUCGUCCAGAAGUUUGACCCCAUUCAUUUUCUCUGUCACUCUGAGCCACCCCAAGAAGCACCCGAAUGCAAUGUCCAGGUACCCAAUUUUGUCCCCACUGAAGAAGUCCUUGCCUUUGCUGGUCUUUUGAAAGGCUUCCUCCAUUUGAGCCAGCCCUUCUGCAACUUGCUCGACUGCUGCCUUCUUUGCCUCGUCUCCUUCAGCGGCAGCAACGCCUCUCAGCGAUGGAAGCCACUGCACCCAUUUGAAUUCAUUACUUAAUUAGAAUAAGAGUGCGUUUGUUGCACCAGACUAUUUCAGACUGGAUUAGCUUCAGGAACUAAGCUGAACUAGGGUUGGGUUCGGUUUAAAUCGGUUCGGUUUUUUGCCAAAACCGAAACCAAACCGAAAUUUCGGUUCGGUUCGGUUCAUUUUUUUUUCGGUUCGGUUUUUUUUCGGUUCGGUUUUUUUCAAAAAAUGAAAAACAUUGAAAUUUUAAAUUUUAACAUAUCCAACACAAUCAUAACAUAAGCAUUUUAACUAGAAUCAAAGACAAUGAAAAUAAACAUUUAAAGUUGAACUAAAAUCAUCAAUCAAGUCUUCCAAAGUCCAAACUAACAACCUCACAACACAAAAAUCGUACAAAUGACAUAGAAAAGUUAAAUUGUAUGAUGUUGUUCAAAGAUCAGGGUUGUUUGCUUGUAACUGCAUGUUGACAACUUGAUUAGUAAAAGUAAUGCGUGGGUGGAUUUAUUUAGUGUGUGUUAGAUUCUUUUCCAUCACAAAUUACCCAAGUAAUCUACCCGAAAGAAAUGUUUAUGGAUUCUGUUACAUGUUAUAUGAGAGUAGAUUUGGAAAAGAAAGCUGGGACAGAAGUAGACAAUGCUAUGGAGAUAGAUGUAGGUACUUCAGAAAGAGGUCUGGUUCCGGAACCUUAUAUGGGGGAUAAAUAAUAGGUUAGGGUUUAGAGUUUUUAUAGGCCUUUUUUUAAUAUUUUGAGCUUAAAGUUUGGCAACACAUUGGGUUUAGAAAAUAAUACCGAAAACAAAUAAUUAAAUAAGAAAAUUAAUUUAAUUAAUUCGGUUUGGUUCGGUUUCUAGAUCACUAAAACCGAACCAAACCAAAAGAAUUCGGUUUGGUUCGGUUCGAUUUUCUGUUUUUUGAACCCACCCUAAGCUGAACUAGCUUAGAUUAGAUUAAGCUAGACUAAUUUAGUGAAGUGUUUGGUGCAAGGUCGGGCUAAAAAGCUGGACAAUAACAAAUAUAUUUUUAAUUCAUAUUUUAUUAAUAUUUUAUAUUAUUUAAUACAUAUUUAGUAAUAUUUUAUUACUACCACUAUCUUUUUUUUUCCAGAAACCGUCCAUCCCCAUUCCUAAUUCUUUUCCACUAAUCUCCCCAUUUCUUUCCAAGUUUGCUCCGUCCCUUUCCCUAUGUUUCUUCCUCUUUCUUCUUCGCCCCUCUCUCUCUCUUCAUCUCCAUCUUUUUCUUCCUAUUUCUCUCUGCUCAUCUCCCUCUUUUCUUCCUAAUUUUUCUGGGACCUAAUUGGCAAAUUAAAACCCAUUCAAAGUCUGGGUCAUUUGGGUAUUCAUGGGUCUGCUUCUCCAGCGUCAAUAGCAAAGGUCUGCGAUCAGGGAGUCUGGACUAGGUGGAGUGUGAGCAGAGUUGCUGAGCGUUUCAGACGCACAACGAUUUUGUAUUUUUUUUUCGCUUUUUUGUUCUAAAUUUUGGAUUUGGAUCUAGUUUUGAAAAUGAAAAUAUUGCAUAAAUUUUUGCCUUUUGUUUCCAAUUUUGUGGGAUAUGGGUUUGAAAAUGGUGGAUGAUAGGGGCGAAGCAGAGCAGAGUUUGUAUAUAUGACCUGGGUUCCACAUCUUGCGAGUAACAAGUUGAUGGGAGGGCGAAGCGAGGAGGAACGAAGCAGGAGGAGUUGGGCUUAGCAGUCAUGCCGAUUUCGAGGGGUCUCGCUAAGACCCCCUAGCGAACUACUUAGUCCCGUUUAGUCGGGGUGAGUGUCAUUAAAACUUGUCUUCAUUUGUAUCAAACACUGGACUAGACUCCCACUUAGUCCAGUCCAGUCUAAUAAAUGCUAGUGAGUGCAAACAAACACACCAUAAAUGUGCAACUACGUGUACAGUGCUUUUCGACAAAAAUUUGCACGUCUCAUGUUGUAUAUCUCAUUGGUUUUUCUAUUUCCCUAAUCACACACACGAUGUAAUGAGAAAUAAAGAAAAAGUGGUAUAAAAAUUAAUUCAUAGGACUCUCUCUCUCUUUGUUUCAUUUUAACUAAACUAUUACCACUCAAUACCAUUUCUACGUCAUUUAGUACUAUGGUGUAGUGGUGUUCCUCUUCACUUGUAACUUAUAAGUGAGAGGUCUUAGGUUCGAUUCUCGCUAAAGACGAGUUUGAACUAUAUUAUUGCUAGCACAUUGUGAGACUAAGCUCACCCCCUCCCCCUUGGUGUAGAUAUUAUAGUUUGUUAAAAAAAAAAAAAAACCAUUUCUACAAAAAAAAAAAUAUUCAACAAUAUCUACAAAAGUGAACAUAUUUUAGGGCUUGUUUGGAAAAUUCUUUUGUACGAAGAAGUAUGCAUAUAUGCUUUUGUGUUUCUAAAAGGAGUAAUUAGAAACCCCACAUUUUUUUCCAACUUAAUUAAUUAUUUUUACAAAAUUUGAUUAAGAAGCUUUGAUCAAUUGCCAACGCAACAAUUUUCUAUUUAUUUAAUAUACUAGCAUUUGCCUGCAUACUUUAUUUAUAUGAAUAAGGAGGGAGGGAGGGAGAGAGAGAGAGAACAUGGGAGGAAUGGGAGGUUUUUGUUUUUGGUUUUUAUUUUUUUUUAAAUUUUAAAUUAGAGAUAUUUUAACAUCAUCUGUAGUGAGGUUUCAAUAAAAACAGUAAAAUUUGGACAUCUGAAAUUACAUUAUUGCCCAUCUUUUUUUUUGUGUAAUAGAAAACUGAGUUGUCUUUUCACCCAUUUUUAGUUGACAAAGAGGGUUUCGUUAAUUAAUAGAGAUACAUGUGUAUAUAUAUCUACUUAAACUAGCUAACAACUAAUUUCCUACAAUCUAUGAAUUUUAAAUUCGUAUUUAAACUUACGGUACAUUUGAAAAUAAACAAACCAACUUUUAGUACAUUUAGAAUUUAAAAGUACAAAAAUGUACUAGAAAUUCAAAUGUUACAUAAAAUCAAAUGUACCAAUAUUAUAGAUAAUCAAACGCACCUAUAAUUUGACCCAAAAAAAAAACACACCUACAAUUUGACCAAAAAAAAGGCGCACCUACAAUUUGACCAAAAAAAAAGCGCACCUACAAUUUGACCAAAAAAAUCACACCUAUUAUAAAAUUAUAGAAAAUAAAUGUUCAAUCAAAUUCUUAAAAUAAACAAAUGUUUAAUCAACGAAAUUGAAAAACAAUGCACUUAUAUCAAAAUGCCCCUUUCUAAAAACACUAUUAAUCAUUCUAUAAGUAAUUCGAAACAGAUGUUAUUUGAGUCAUAUUAAAGAGAAAGACGAUCAACAAAUCCCUUUAAACAUAUUUUAUUAAGUAAUGGAAAAACAAUAGAAAAAAAAAACAAAGAGCAACAUAAUCCCUCACAUUUAACUGGUUAAUCCAAACAAAAUUUAAUAAAUGAACGAAAUUAGCCUGCAAAAAUUAAAAAUUAAGGAGACGAACAAAAACCAUGCACUUACCUUCUCAUCGACGUAGGCAGCCCAAAAUCUUGCAGUAGCGCGAUCCAACGGGUCAGAAGGGAGAAUCGACGGGCCUGAGGCCCAAACCUCAUCGAUGUACUCCACAAUGAUGAGAGACUCACAGACGGACUUAUCACAAUGAAUGAGAACUGGGAUUUUCUUGUGGACUGGAUUGGACUGGAGAAGAAGCUGGCUUUUGGCUUCGAACGUCUCCUCAAGAAGCUCAUACUCCACUGACUUGAUAUUGAGCGCGAUCCAAGCCCUCAUCGCGUAUGGGCUCGGCCACGCUCCCAAAACCUUCACGUCGCUCUUCGCCAUGAUCAAUGAUUCAGAUUCUCUAUCGAACUCGGAAAGCUCUCAAAAUGCAAAUGCAAAAUCUGUGUUUUGGGGUUCCUGUUAUUUAUGAAUGUGCAUGAAAGGUGAAAGCAGAAGGAGGAUUUAUGAAGAGGUUUCGAAAGUGAAUGUGUUUGGUGUUUACGUAAUGACAAAAGGUGUUGGUGUGAACGUAAUGACAAUAGGUGUGGCACUGUGUGGGUGGAAAGAGACUUGGAUGGACUUUUCAAGACGAUGAUAGAGGUGUUCCGAGUCAAUAAUACGAUGUAAU